UUUGAUCCUGCUCAGGACGAACGCUGGCGGCGUGCCUAAUACAUGCAAGUCGAGCGGACCGACGGGAGCUUGCUCCCUUAGGUCAGCGGCGGACGGGUGAGUAACACGUGGGUAACCUGCCUGUAAGACUGGGAUAACUCCGGGAAACCGGGGCUAAUACCGGAUGCUUGAUUGAACCGCAUGGUUCAAUCAUAAAAGGUGGCUUUUAGCUACCACUUACAGAUGGACCCGCGGCGCAUUAGCUAGUUGGUGAGGUAACGGCUCACCAAGGCGACGAUGCGUAGCCGACCUGAGAGGGUGAUCGGCCACACUGGGACUGAGACACGGCCCAGACUCCUACGGGAGGCAGCAGUAGGGAAUCUUCCGCAAUGGACGAAAGUCUGACGGAGCAACGCCGCGUGAGUGAUGAAGGUUUUCGGAUCGUAAAACUCUGUUGUUAGGGAAGAACAAGUACCGUUCGAAUAGGGCGGCACCUUGACGGUACCUAACCAGAAAGCCACGGCUAACUACGUGCCAGCAGCCGCGGUAAUACGUAGGUGGCAAGCGUUGUCCGGAAUUAUUGGGCGUAAAGCGCGCGCAGGCGGUUUCUUAAGUCUGAUGUGAAAGCCCCCGGCUCAACCGGGGAGGGUCAUUGGAAACUGGGGAACUUGAGUGCAGAAGAGGAGAGUGGAAUUCCACGUGUAGCGGUGAAAUGCGUAGAGAUGUGGAGGAACACCAGUGGCGAAGGCGACUCUCUGGUCUGUAAACUGACGCUGAGGCGCGAAAGCGUGGGGAGCGAACAGGAUUAGAUACCCUGGUAGUCCACGCCGUAAACGAUGAGUGCUAAGUGUUAGAGGGUUUCCGCCCUUUAGUGCUGCAGCAAACGCAUUAAGCACUCCGCCUGGGGAGUACGGUCGCAAGACUGAAACUCAAAGGAAUUGACGGGGGCCCGCACAAGCGGUGGAGCAUGUGGUUUAAUUCGAAGCAACGCGAAGAACCUUACCAGGUCUUGACAUCCUCUGACAACCCUAGAGAUAGGGCUUCCCCUUCGGGGGCAGAGUGACAGGUGGUGCAUGGUUGUCGUCAGCUCGUGUCGUGAGAUGUUGGGUUAAGUCCCGCAACGAGCGCAACCCUUGAUCUUAGUUGCCAGCAUUCAGUUGGGCACUCUAAGGUGACUGCCGGUGACAAACCGGAGGAAGGUGGGGAUGACGUCAAAUCAUCAUGCCCCUUAUGACCUGGGCUACACACGUGCUACAAUGGGCAGAACAAAGGGCAGCGAAGCCGCGAGGCUAAGCCAAUCCCACAAAUCUGUUCUCAGUUCGGAUCGCAGUCUGCAACUCGACUGCGUGAAGCUGGAAUCGCUAGUAAUCGCGGAUCAGCAUGCCGCGGUGGAAUACGUUCCCGGGCCUUGUACACACCGCCCGUCACACCACGAGAGUUUGUAACACCCGAAGUCGGUGAGGUAACCUUUUGGAGCCAGCCGCCGAAGGUGGGACAGAUGAUUGGG
rnacentral:rRNA from 1 species